UCUCACUUUGCUCAUCCCUGUUUCCAACACAGGCAACCAGUCAAGAUGUCGCCGCGGAGCGCUGCCGUUUUCCUCUGCGUCCUUGCGAUGUUAUCCCACGCCAGCCACUGCGCACCGACCACCCUGGGCAUGCAGACAGCGGCACCGACCGGAGGACUCGGACUUGCAUACACGAACCCCUCGGCCCUGCCGGACGCUUUCACCGUGAGCCCCGAUAUAUUCAGCGGCAGCGGCUCGGGCUCCGGCCCGAUACCUGGACUCAUUUAAAGAACAGAGAACAUCGGAGCAAGACGGACGACCUACAACGCAACCCUCCAUGUAUUCUUAUAAUCCAUCUGAUUUAAUAUUUGUCUCCUGAUUAACCUUCAAUGUUAACCCAAUCACGCUGCAUUUUCACCUUAAAAUGUAUCCGCGCUUGCCGCGCAUAGCACAGAAUCGGAAACGUUUCUUCACACCUUCAUUCGUUACUCGACCUGAAUCGUCGCGUUGAAACAAAACGAUAUACACAUGUGUGUGUUUGUAAGCCACGCUGUCCAUAUAACAGGGUUCCAACUGCAAUUUGCAAAUGUUGUUUGUCAAAGUUUUUAGGAUGUCGACACGGUGAACGUCCAUGCAAAAUAAAAAGGUUAAGUACAAAUAACAAUGGUUUUAACUAACAAUUUCCAUUUUACGAGAAGUGACCUGGUCAAUAAUUAUAGCUCAACAAGGUGGCUUACCAUGUGGACAUUUAUAGCAGACAAAUACUCUGAACGCAUGUCGAUUCUAAAUGUGGAGGGGAAAAACCGGGGGACCACGGGGAGAACAUGCAAACUGCAAAUAUACAGCAGGCGUCAUGGUCAGGAUUGAACCCACGGCCUCCUGCCUACCAGAGAAGGUAGUUAACAUCUCACCACCAUGGUUUUCAUGCUGUCACCAAGAACGAAAAGAUAUCGACAUUUUGGCCGACUGGUGUCAUUAUUUCUACUUAAUGUGUUACUUAAAAUGUUCUGAUGAUGGGCUGUCUACAAAGUGCCACAAGAUAAAUAUUUUGAGUACCAAAAACAAUUCCACAGCUCGCCCUUCUUUACGAUAGCCCAAGAAGAUGAAAGCGGUGCACUUUUCCUGCACGUCAUCCAAUUGUUUUUAAGAUAAAAUGCUAACGGCAACCUUAAGGCAGCUUGGGUUCAUUUGAAGCGAGUUGAUUGUGUCGUGGAACCGCAAUGAAACCCAUGAAAGGUGAUCAACCGCGCGUGGGGGUGAUACAAAUCUACGCUUGCUGCCCUCCUCCAUCCCGAGCGUUCCAAUGCGGUUGGCGGUCACGCAAAAUAAAACCCAUAUAUUACAACCACGGAGUCAAAAUUAAAUUUCUUAUAAAUUAACCACUCGGCAAUUAUACUUUCGAAGCUAAACAUGCGUACGGUUGGUUAACUUUGGCGAAGAUGGUUGUCUAUGGUGAUAGUGUUUACAAUGUUAUCGAUCUUUUUCUAGUCGUGAUUACAUUCACAACAAUAAAAUUUGGUGUAGCAUUCAA